rnacentral:rRNA from 1 species
AGCGGCGGACGGGUGAGUAACGCGUGGGUAACCUGCCCUAUACACACGGAUAACAUACCGAAAGGUAUGCUAAUACGAGAUAAUAUAAGAGAUUCACAUGGAUUUCUUAUCAAAGCUGAGGCGGUAUAGGAUGGACCCGCGUCUGAUUAGCUAGUUGGUAAGGUAACGGCUUACCAAGGCGACGAUCAGUAGCCGACCUGAGAGGGUGAUCGGCCACAUUGGAACUGAGACACGGUCCAAACUCCUACGGGAGGCAGCAGUGGGGAAUAUUGCACAAUGGGCGAAAGCCUGAUGCAGCAACGCCGCGUGAGUGAUGAAGGCCUUCGGGUCGUAAAACUCUGUCCUCAAGGAAGAUAAUGACGGUACUUGAGGAGGAAGCCCCGGCUAACUACGUGCCAGCAGCCGCGGUAAUACGUAGGGGGCUAGCGUUAUCCGGAUUUACUGGGCGUAAAGGGUGCGUAGGUGGUCUCUUAAGUCAGGAGUGAAAGGCUACGGCUUAACCGUAGUAAGCUCUUGAAACUGGGAGACUUGAGUGCGGGAGAGGAAAGUGGAAUUCCUAGUGUAGCGGCGAAAUGCGUAGAUAUUAGGAGGAACACCAGUAGCGAAGGCGGCUUUCUGGACUGUAUCUGACACUGAGGCACGAAAGCGUGGGGAGCAAACAGGAUUAGAUACCCUGGUAGUCCACGCCGUAAACGAUGAGUACUAGGUGG